CAAUAGCGUAUAUUAAAGUUGUUGCAGUUAGAACGCUCGUAGUCGGAUUUCGGGGCGGGCCGACCGGUCUGCCGAUGGGUAUGCACUGGUCGGUGCGUCCUUCCUUCCGGAGACCGUCCCUACUCUUAACUGAGCGGGGGCGGGAGACGGGACUUUUACUUUGAAAAAAUCAGAGUGUUUCAAGCAGGCAGCUCGCUCUUGCAUGGAUUAGCAUGGGAUAAUGAAAUAGGACUUUGGUGCUAUUUUGUUGGUUUCGAACACCGAAGUAAUGAUGAGAAGGGACAGUCAGGGGCACUCGUAUUCCGCCGAGAGAGGUGAAAUUCUCAGACCAGCGGAAGACGAACCACUGCGAAAGCAUUUGCCAGGGAUGUUUUCACUGA
rnacentral:rRNA from 1 species